rnacentral:rRNA from 1 species
UACAGAGGGUGCAAGCGUUAAUCGGAAUUACUGGGCGUAAAGCGAGCGUAGUCGGUUAUUUAAGUCGGAUGUGAAAUCCCCGGGCUCAACCUGGGAAUUGCAUUCGAAACUGGAUAGCUAGAGUUCGGCAGAGGGAAGCGGAAUUUCUGGUGUAGCGGUGAAAUGCGUAGAGAUCAGGAAGAGCACCGGUGGCGAAGGCGCUCUGCUAGGCCGCAACGGACACUGAGGGACGAAAGCUAGGGGAGCGAAUGGG